UACGUAGGGGGCAAGCGUUGUCCGGAAUUAUUGGGCGUAAAGCGCGCGCAGGCGGUUCUUUAAGUCUGGUGUUUAAGUGCGGGGCUCAACCCCGUGACGCACUGGAAACUGGGGAACUUGAGUGCAGAAGAGGAGAGCGGAAUUCCACGUGUAGCGGUGAAAUGCGCAGAUAUCAGGAGGAACACCAAUGGCGAAGGCAGCUCGCUGGAACGGUACUGACGCUGAGGCGCGAAAGCGUGGGGAGCGAACAGG
rnacentral:rRNA from 1 species